rnacentral:rRNA from 1 species
GGGCAGCUUUAACAUGCAGUCGAACGGCAGCGCGAGAGAGCUUGCUCUCUUGGCGGCGAGUGGCGGACGGGUGAGUAAUAUAUCGGAACGUGCCCAGUAGCGGGGGAUAACUACUCGAAAGAGUGGCUAAUACCGCAUACGCCCACGGGGGAAAGGGGGGGAUCGCAAGACCUCUCACUAUUGGAGCGGCCGAUAUCGGAUUAGCUAGUUGGUGGGGUAAAGGCUCACCAAGGCAACGAUCCGUAGCUGGUUUGAGAGGACGACCAGCCACACUGGGACUGAGGCACGGCCCAGACUCCUACGGGAGCCAGCAGAGGGGAAUUUUGGACAAUGGGGGAAACCCUGAUCCAGCCAUCCCGCGUGUAUGAUGAAGGCCUUCGGGUUGUAAAGUACUUUUGGCAGAGAAGAAAAGGUAUCCCCUAAUACGGGAUACUGCUGACGGUAUCUGCAGAAUAAGCACCGGCCAACUACGUGCCAGCAGCCGCGGUAAUAGGUAGGGUGCAAGCGUUAAUCGGAAUUACUGGGCGUAAAGCGUGUGUAGGCGGUUCGGAAAGAAAGAUGUGAAAUCCCAGGGCUCAACCUUGGAACUGCAUUUUUAACUGCCGAGCUAGAGUAUGUCAGAGGGGGGUAGAAUUCCACGUGUAGCAGUGAAAUGCGUAUAUUGUGGAGGAAUACCGAUGGCGAAGGCGCCCCCUGGGAUAAUACUGACGCUGACACACGAAAGCGUGGGGAGCAACCGGAUUAGGUACCCUGGUAGUCCACGCCCUAAACGAUUCAACUAGCUGUUGGGGCCGUUAGGCCUUAGUAGCGCAGCUACGCGUGAAGUUGACCGCCCGGGGAGUAGGUCGCAGAUUAAACUCAAGGAUUUGACGGGACCCGCACAGCGGUGGAUGAAGUGGAUAAUUCGAUGCAACGCGAAACCUUACCUACCUUGACAUGUCUGGAAGCCGANAGAUUGCGUGCUCGCAGAAGGACACAGUGCUGCAUGCUGUCGUCAGCUCGUGUCUGAGAUGUAGAGUAGUCCUGUCACGAGCGCACCUNUCAUAGUGCUACGCAGAGCACUCUAUGAGACUGC